UACGGAGGGUGCGAGCGUUGUUCGGAAUCACUGGGCGUAAAGCGCGUGUAGGCGGCCCUUUAAGUCCGAUGUGAAAGCCCGGGGCUCACCCCCGGAAGUGCAUUGGAUACUGAAGGGCUGGAGUACCGGAGAGGAGGGUGGAAUUCCUGGUGUAGCGGUGAAAUGCGUAGAUAUCAGGAAGAACACCCGUGGCGAAAGCGGCUCUCUGGAACGGUACUGACGCUGAGACGCGAAAGCGUGGGGAGCGAACAGG
rnacentral:rRNA from 1 species